rnacentral:tRNA from 1 species
UGGAGGCGUAGCUCAAUUGGGAGAGCGCGACACUGUCACUGUCGAGGUAGCGGGAUCGAAACCCGUCGUCUCCGU